AUGAAUGUCCUAAGCUGGAACUACCGAGGGGGUGGGAACUCCCGGACAGUUCGAGAUCUUGUGAGUCUUGUUCAGACUCAUUCCCCUAGUAUCGUUUUCCUUUGUGAGACUAGACAGUCUAAGAAUAAAAUGAAGAGGUAUCGCUCUCAGUUAGGUUUAAAUGGCUUCGACGCUUCAGACAGUGUUGGUCUUAGUGGUGGUUUGGCUUUGUAUUGGCAUGAG
rnacentral:rRNA from 1 species